CGUUAUUGUUGCUCAUUUCCAGUUGCAGGAACCCACGGGUAGCUAACGGUCGAUUGCAGAUUCUCACGGCUGGGAAGAGCUGGGCAGACCUUACCUUAAGGAGCCAUGGAAACAGAUUUAAGAUGCAUUAUGCACGUGUACCGACUCCCCACGAUGAAUGCAAUCAUUGUGUCUUGCAAACAUGGACUAAUAAAAAAUAAAAUUAUGCUUUAAAAAAAAAAAGAACAACAACCAGGUACAAUGAGAGUGUGGAAAAGAGCACCAGAGCCUCUGUCCCUGCCCUGCUGGGCACUGGGCCCACAGGGAGCUCCCCAGCAGGGUUUGCCUGGGGGAAAUCGGCUUCGCAGAAACUGCAGAUGGACAGCAAGAAGGGGAGGGCAUCCGAGAGACUGCCAAGCAAGCCACCUCGAGAGCGGCUGGAGAGGAGGGCCGUGGCCUGGCCAUGGGCCCCGUGUCCAUGCUGGGUCCCUCCUGAGCUGCCCGUCUAGUUCUGCCCUCAGCUUCCCAGUGACUUCUCUUCACUUCCGGCCACCUACACUGGCCGCUCUGGGACCCUCCAAGUUCGGUACCCAAAAACCAAGUAAUACAACGGAAAGCAGGGAAAGGGGCUCCUACCACAGGUGGUGUUCCAAUCCUGCUUGAAUGGAUCGAAACAGAAGAUUCCCCCGUGGAUCCUCUCCUCCUUCUGACAGGCUCUCACCCAAAGGACGUGGGAACCCACGGCCACGCAUCUCUCCGUGGGAGAACGCGUGUUUCCAGGCGGACGGGCACGGGGGAGAGCAGGCUGUGUGCCAUACCGAGGGCAGGCACAGCUUCCUCCCGGCUCUUCUUUGUCUCAGGCAGGGAACCUUAAUCUUGGUCCUGCUGUUCUUGGCAUUUUGUUACUGUUGUUGCUGUUGUCAGUCCUUUGUUUGCUCUAUUUCCAGAUCAAAAAUUGUCAAAAACCAAACUAGACAAGAUUUGUUCACAAGACACCUUUUUUAAUCCUAAUGUGUCAAUGCCUUAAGAGCAUCAAUGUUCUUACAAGCACAAGUGAAAAAGUGGUGCAGUCCAGACAGGCAUCGCGUUGUGCUGCAAGAAACUGAAUUUUUUUGAAAACAUGAAGCUGAGCUCAAGCCCUCAGUAGCUCCGGUUUAAUUUCCUGCAGAGUAAAUCCACUCUUGGGCGCCUUGAGGAUAAGUCUGUUACUUAGCACUUCAGUAAGUUGUGUCUCUUUUUGAACUUUACAAAGAGGCUGACCCAGGGUCCCGGGUGCCAGGGCUCUGCCUUGUUCUCCGUAGAGUGGAUGCCCCCUGACACACAGCUCCGACCCUUUAACAAGUGGUCACUGUCCUUCACGUGUGAUCUGGGGCUGGGAGUUAGCCGUGCACAGAGAGCUGCUUGUGUUAACUCUUCAUGCCGCACAGUCCUGCUCCAGAGUGCGGAAGGGUUACUGCAGACAGACAGGGAAGAGACACCGAGUCAGCUGCCUUUUGUUUGGUUUCUAUCGCUAACGCACUAGCUGUAUUUCCACGUGGGACAUAGAGUUUGCCUGGCAAAUAGCACAGUGAAUUUGGUUUCAUUUUGGGAUUUCAAACUUUCUAACCAUAAUUACUGGUUAGCUCUGUUUAUUUUGUUUUAUUUUUGUUUGCUUUUGUAAACAAAGAUACAUAUUUAUGCUGGUAAAUUUUUUUCCUUAAAUAAUUAUAGCUGGAGCAUAGCUCCCCCAAAGAGAUGACCUAGGUCCUCUGUUCAGUGUCUCUGUCACCUUCUGGAUGGUCCACGUGAAUCUUGCCCAAGGAGGGGACACUUCCAAGGACCCUCCAGAGUCCCAGAGCUAGCUCACAGUGUCAGUGUGCUGGGACUUGAAGGCCUGGGCUGUGGCAGGGUCUUGGGAGGGACCAGCUGUGGGCUGUGGGUAGAAGAGACACCUGGUCCCUCCCAUCAGGAACUUCCUGAUGCCUGACACAGUGCACCUGAGACUUUCUUGGGUAAGGCCAGCCUUGCAGAAAGACAGAGGUGAAUUCAGGGUCAACAUCUCCUGCUCGGCUGUGCUGAGCCACUGAGGACAGCUCAGAGCCCUGAGAUCAGGACCAGCCAGUGGCCUCCAUCAGCUACACAGCACAGGACUGUCACCCUGGCUGCUUGAAUCCACACCGGAAGUCUUGGAAAGCCCUGUGGUCCUAGAAGUCCCCAAAAGCCUGAGCGCUGUCUGGUGGCAGUGGGGUUCUUAAGAGGAGAGGCCUGUAGGAAGGUCACUGGGAGCUGGGCUUGUGCCCGUACAGGACAUGUGGGACCCGUCCAUACCUCUUCCUCUCUCCCCUUUCCUCCCUGCCCAGAGUGAGUGGCCUCUUGUGUGGUAGAUACGACUACUCUGACCCCCACAAUCCUCCAGGCCUGUGAACGGGGCCAGCCAUUCCUUCUUGGAGGUGUUCACCCCAGGCGCUGGGUGCGGUGGUGGGAAGGAUGCUCACUAACACACCAGCUGCCCGCCUGUGCAGGGUUCGCAGGGGUUUAUCUUCCCUCAUGAAGACUUGCACUUAAGAAAUGGUCCUCUAUCCAGGAAAAAGUGCUCAUAGAAUAAUAGUGGAGAGCGUGUCACUUGGAGAUUUCCAUAUUGCAUUUUUACAUAGCAUGAUAUAUCUAAGGCAUUAUUCUGAACUUUUUUUCCUGACUCACUAAAAAAAAGCACAGAGUACAUGUGUCUUCCAAAUGGCAGGCUGGCUACAUACCCACUCAUGAUUCUGAGAUUUAAGAAACCUUGAAAUUUGAAAAAUAUUAAUAGUUUUUCUACAUUUCUCGAAGUAUGCAGGAAAUAGUAAUCCUAAACUUUACUCUUUAUAUUCAAUUUUGCUUGGAAUAGAAACACCCUAUAAAUUUAAAUGCAACAUGAUUUCAUUUCAGUUCUUAAGCAGAUUAAGACUGAUAAUAACUUAAAAAAAUCAAAUAAUUUUGAACAAUUGAAUAGAUUCAAAUGCCUCUUUGACAUUUCAUGAGAAUAAUUCUCAAAAGAAAUUAUUUAAAUUGUUUAGCAAAAUGAUGGCAUAUAAUUGCAGUUAUUACCAAUCUCGAGUUUUAAAUUAUUAGAUUUCUUGUCAAUAUUACAGUUCAUUAUAUUACACUGUAGGAAGACUAGUGACAAUUUAUUUCAAUUUUAUGUCAAUUUGUUUAUAGCCAAAUUUACAAUGGAUUACAUUAUAAAAAUCAGUCAAAAAUAUUUCUCAGCUAAUAGCAUAAAUGGUGUGACUUUAAAAAUAUUCGAUAUGGGGGCAAGCCAGGAAGAGAAUCAGGCAGCAUCUCCUGAGAUCCAGCCAUGGUAGAACUUAAUGGGCCCAGCAAGAAAGCAAUGAGCCCCCGUCCUGGGAAGCAGCCAUGGCGAGCGGGGGGCAAGCCGGGAAGAGAACCUCUCAGUGUCUCCUCUGAGCUGCUGACUUCCUGUCCCUGCCUCCUCUGUUAGCAACUGGGGGCCGAGGUCUGAGCCUCUCUUGGAAAGAUGACCGUAUGCAACAUAGCAAAUAUGGGGGCUUUUCUUCUAUCUUCUGCUUGAAGGCUAAUGUUGUUUUCACUGUUUUGCUUUGUUCUGACUAUUUUUCUCUAUUCAGUAUUCUGUUUUGAUAGGUUUUAUAAUGUUCUGUUUUUAGUUUGAUUUCACUAUACCUGGCCAACUAUUGUGAAGAUAACAAGGUGUACUAUGGUACCCAUUACUGUUAUCCUGGUAACCUGCUCUGAAGUUCUGUACCAACUUCACUGCAUUGUCUUGAUUGGCUUUGUUCUGUCUUGUUCUGUUGUGUUUCACUAGCUUCAAAAUAAAAAUUAUAUAUUCAAUAUGA